CGGGUGAAUCAUGGAGAGAAUUGAAGGUAGGUGUCCUUCUCGGGAUCCAACGAAGAACAGCCGGGAAGAGGUGAAGAGAGAUCCAUUAACAGAUCCAAAGCACGACAAGCCCACAAAGACAGGUAUGAUCCAGGACAUGAUGCCAAGGUGGUGAUUCCCAAAGUCCACAGCCACCGCUUCGGACUUCAGCAUCUGCUCCGUGGACAGGGUUGUGAAGUAAGCCAAGUUUGUCAGCACAUAAACCAAAGUGACUACAGGUAGUGAGAUGAUGAUAGCCAGAGGCAGGUUUCUGUAGGGGUUUAUCAUCUCCUCCGUAACAAAAUUCAAGUAAUUCCAUCCUCCAUAGGCAAAAAGACCACUGUACAAGGCCAGCACGAUGUUCCCCACACCCACUUUUGUUUUUUCAAAGGAGUGCUCAGGAGUCAGGCUG
rnacentral:lncRNA from 1 species